AGCUGCAAAGCCUCAAGUACAAACCCUCUCCGUGUGCAUUUACAGUACUGGAUUUAUUGCACUUUUAUUGGGCAUUUACUGAAAUAAGUGAAGAGGUGUAAAGUUCACAAUAAAAAGAAAUUCCUUUCAUAGAGUUUUCAUGAUUCUUAUUAUUGUCUGAUAGCAGCAGUUUUGUGUAAGUUCUUAAACAAAUAGAUAAGAAUCACAGAUUUUAACCUUAGCCAGUGUUUAAAGAAAGGUGCACACUACUUUUUUUUAUCAAAUCACAACAUCAUGUAAGAGACAGAGCUCCCCAGCUUCCUGACAUUUUCUGUAGAAAGUAAUUUAAACAGAAAAUUGCAGGUUAAGAGCUAAUGAGUAAAACAGAUUAAAAUUGCAUGAACCAAAGCGACACAGAGAAUACAAUUGAAAAGACCCCAGAGCAAUAACACAGAAAUAUGGCUACAUGCAAAUAUGGUCCUUCUAAAGCACUGCUUGGGGACAAGAAAAAAUGUACUGGAGAAAACCCCCCUGCAACCCACUGUACAGCAACAACAUUAAGUCUAAGGUAAGCACAAGAGUCAGCUCCUUGCUCCUCUUUUUCCUCUGAAAAGUCUCUUUGACUGCAUUAAGGCCAACCUGAAGGCUCAAACGGGCAAUAUUUAGCAGCAGCUGUGGCUCUGUGCAGCUCCAGCCAGUUCUGUCCGUGCUGAACUGAAACCAGAGCAGUCACAGGGCCCUGCUUCCGCAUUUCCCUCUCCCUGACUCCGGGGCCAGGCGAGGGCUGGCACCAGAAUGGCACCGGCACUUGUUAGAGCAAGUGACUGGGUUUCACCCUCUGCUCCAGCACACAUUUUCUGUGUGACUGCAGUUUGCUCAGCUAAAAGCAGAAAUAGCAGCACUUUGGGUUUCAGCUGGCUGACCCUGGGGAGCCACCACCCCCCCAGGAAGAGGCCUUGUGCUGGCCUGCCCUGCCCACCAUAAUGCUCCACCACAUCCACUGAGGAAUAAGAGACAGCAGCCCUUUGCUGAGCAUCAGAAGAGAGCAGUCACAGCUCUUUCCUGGUCUCCCUGUAUUUGCAGCACACACAUUAUUCCUGUUCUUGCCUGGAGCAAAGCUAGUGCAAGGAAGCAGCCCAGGCAUCUCCCUUGUAAAAAAUAUCACUGUGUUCAACCCCUUGCCCUGCUGCUGCUGCUUCAUCCUCCUCCUCUCAGCCACCAAGCCUGGCUGGUGCCAAUUACCAGCUGCUUUUCCCAGCUGCAGCAAGCAUCUGCUGUGGCAGGAGGGAAGCAGAUGUGCAGAGACUUUGGCAGCUCAGGGCACACUGGGCACAGCAAGCAUCUGCUUUUGCCAGGGCCAGGCUGCUGGGUGCUGCAGGGCUAGGCUCUGCAGGUGCCCAACACCACCAGGGCCACACGCAGCUGGCCAAAGUGGCCACUGAAUGCACCCUAUGGCACUGGGAAAGGGCCUUUCACUGAUCUCCCUGGAGGGCACGGCUUUGAGGGCAUCUCCCAUCCUUCGUUCACAAGCCCAGCUCCCAGCUGGAAGCAGCACACAGCUCAUUUCACCCUACUCUCAGCAAAGUCUGCAGACAUUUCUGCACCUCAGGGGCAGCAUCUGCCCUUCAAGGUUUAUUUUGGAAUGUUUGUGAGGGAAGAGUAGCUUCCCCAAGCCUUCAAGAUGGCAGGUGCAUGUGUUGGCAUGGACCAUGCAGUCUGUGCCAUGGUUUCACAGGAGGGAAUGGGAAACAAUUGCCACAAAAUGUCUCAGCCAAAGCAAAUGAAAUUGCUUUGUAUAUUCAAAAAACCCCAAACAUUUAAAUUUUCAUGAGAAACUUGAAACAGAAAUUGGAAAUUAAAAACUACUGUUUGUACAACUGCCUUCUAUUGAUUAAAUUAUAGAAAACAGCCCUGAGUGAGGGCUGUGGAGAAACCAAUCACACACUCAGCAGACCAUCCAUCUCCAUUCCCCAAACAUAAUUAUAGCAAUAUGGGAGACAUGAAAAUACACUGCAAUCCUACACAAUAGUAAUAAAGAGCUGAAAAUAUUCGUGGAUUUGAAGAAAAGCUGUUGAGCAAAGCCAAUGCAACCAUCUUCUCGAGGAGCUAAAAUAUGCACAAUGAGUAAAAGAUUUUAAAAAAACCCACUGAAAACAAAGAAAUAUAAUUUUUCUUUCUUUGAAAAGAAAAAAAAAUGCAGGCCAUUGUAAUAUGUAUGAAAAAACGCUGUAGAGUUUGCAACUGCCCAUUUUUCCCACUUCAUGUGGUACCAAGGCUGUCUUAAAAUUAAAAGCUGCAAUAACACAGACCACAAAAAUCAAUCCUGCUCUAUGGAAGUAGUAAAAUUAUUGAUAGAAAACAGUCUUAUCAAGUUAAUUUAGACUCUGUUAUUUUCAUUACUGGAUUUAAGUAAGAGGAUCCAUCCCUUAAAGAAGGCCAGAACACUGUUACACAGAUUUUUAUAUGUAUGUAUGUGUAUAUAUAUCCACACACACAUGUAUGUAGAAUUUAGAAGCAAAUGGUCAGAAUUUACUAACUUAAAUAAAUCCUCAUCACAGAAUUUUUUUCCUACUACUGAUAAAGAAGAAAAACCUUAUUAAUGAGGCCUCAGUGGUAGUUACACUGCUGCCACUACACUGUGAGAGAUGGGCACUUUUUUUCCCAAGGAGGGUUUAACUGCUUUGUAGAUCCAUAACAAUAUUUCACAGAGAAAGCUUUAUUCAACUGGAGCUCUUAAACCUCCUUUGUGAAAUGUUGUGGUAUUUUGUCAGCUACGUGGCCUUUGCUAUGCACGUGACGCUGGUAGGUUUCUAGGCAUGCAAGUUCAAGAGCUUUAUUUUCCAGAUUUUUUUUCAAUCAAUUAAGCUCACUGGUAAGACUGCACACACUUCAGAAAGGCAGGAAAAGAAAAAUAACCACUAACUCUUUGUUCUGCAGCAGCAGCUGGAUUUGCUGCUGCUGUCUGUGCAGAGCAGCUUGGAUGCUGGCUUUGGCUGCCUGCAGGUUCACAGCCCUGGAAUGUUUCUGGUGGGCUUUUCCUCCUUCAUUAGGAACAUUCUUGUGAUGCGGGGGAUUCCUAUCAAAACUAUCAUCACCCUCACAACACGAGUCAUUCCCCAGCCUUUGGAUACAGACAGCUGCCAAGCUACAGAAAACAUAGCUGUGCCUCUAUAGAAUUCCUCACAGAGGGUUUUUUUCUUUUUCCCCUUACUGUUGCAUUUUAACGUGCUUAUAACACCCAGCCCCUAUGGGGGAGUGAACAAAAGGCCUUUUAAAGGCAAUCUUUCAGAAUGCUCCAAUUGUGCCCUUAAUUGCAUCUAAGUACAUGUGGGCUCAGUUCUAUGCGGACAUAGUUUUAGCUGUAGGUUGAUUUGAAGCAAGCCACACAUUUUAUACCAAAGCAAUGCAUAAAAGCACACACAAGAGAAGAAAGCUUUAAUUUAGUCACAUUACUACUGUAAGUAAUAAUGCAUAGCAAGCAAUAAUCAGAUGCAAGAAGUUUAGAGCAGAUGUUCCUUUUACUUUGAUUCUUGAGGCAGUGCAGUAGCAAUUUCUUCCUUUGUAAGAGACAUAGAUGAUUCAGUGCUAGUAAAAAAAGUGUUAGGCAUGAAGUUCUUCCACUUAAUAGCUGAAGAAUAAUUCACACUGUGAAAUGUGGGGCUGAACAAGAGCUUCCAGGUAUUUCCCCUCCCUGUACUAACAGCAUUUUGAAGGAGGCUUGGGGUUUAUCUUUGGGCUUAGGGUAUAGUUUAAAGUACUAUUUCUUCUAGAGUCUAUUCUUCACCCACCCCUUAGCCCUGUUAGAAUUUAGUUGCUUUCCAAAGAGGUGGGGAAUUGAAGACCACCCCCCUCAGAGUCUAUUGCUUGCCAUGUGUGGGGAAGAGGCUUGCUCCAGCCUGGGAAAACACCAACAACAGCCCAUGCAGGAAAAAGGAAAAGAGGCUCAGCAGGUUGGGCCACUGGAGGAGCAAGGAUCAGCUCCACGAUGCCUAGCUUUAGAGUGAUACCCUAGCUUUGAUGCGACAAUAUCCCAUCCAGCAAGGCAGGAUAUUGUCACAAAGUACACUGGGGCAGAGAUGGCAGUGCCUGCAGGAGAAUAUGGCUGUUGAAUGUGUGCUGCCCUUCCAGCAGCAUCAGCAGCUCCAAGCAGACCUUGGAAGUCACAUAGGAAGUAAGGGGAGAAAUCUCAGGCUGGCUCAUAUCACAGCAGUGUGGCACCUGUGUGCCCCUCCUCAAGAGCAGAGCCUAGGAAGGCUCUGCCACAGAAAACCCAGAAAACUCUCAGUCACAAAAAGAACCCAGGUUGUCACUGGGGAGCAAAUGGUGGCCUGGAGAUGCAGGGGGUGGUGAUGUGCAGCUGCAGAGGCCCCAAAAGUUCAACAAAUGCAGCCCUUAAGUGCUCACAAUGAGAGCAAAUGGUGAGAAGCCAAGAGCUUCCCACCAUUUGCUCCCAUUCCUGUCACCCACCUGCAGCAGCAUUAAUGCUUCCCACCACAGAGCUGCUCCCUGGGCAGUAGCUGAGGCAAAUCAUCUCUGCAAUAAGGCCUCCUCCAUUCCCUUCCUCCAUAAUGCUGCAACAUAUUGGGAGAAAGAGACGCAAGUUCCCCAAAACUCACAUUUUCCAAAUCAUAAACUGUCAAGGAAAAGCCUUUGCCGGAAUAGCUGCUCACUCCUGGUCUCUUCUCAUCAGCUUCCCCCCUACUCACACAGAUCCCUCAGCAUCUCUUCCAGCUCAGCACAGCACCACAGGGACCCAGGAGAAGCGGGAAGCAAAAACACAUGAAAAUGAAGUAAUGAGGCUAAUGCACAAGAUGGAGAUGGCCAGAUGCUGGGAUAUCAUUCUCUGCUUCUAGGGUGAGAAUUAGGCAUUGUGCUGAUGCAGAUGAACAGAGGAAGUUUGGAUUGCUGAGACCAUUUAAUAAACUAAGGGUAUGUCAUACACGACCCAACACUAUGGUGCUCUCUUUAGGUCCUCCCUUUCUUUCUACUACCUCUAUGCAUUAAUCCACCUUGACCAGGGCAGAGUAAGGAGGCAAGGAUUUAACUUCUUUCAGUAUUUGGAAAGCCCUAGGAUUAGUUCCCAUUUCAUCCCCUCACACCCCAUGCCCCCAGCAGCCAGGGUCACCAGACCACAGAAAAUGCAGAAGGCCCCUGUGCAUGGGUACCCACAGCAGCAGAGAAAGCGUGGUCCCAAAAAUGCCCCUUCUGACAGCCUUACCAACAUGGCUGUGCCCUCAGCUUUCUCGUCCAUGAAGGCACCUAUCACCCAUUCUUCUGUAGCUUAAGGCUUUUGCUCUAUGCGAGGGGCUCUGUUGGCCAAAAAGAAAAAUAAACUCUGAGCAGCCUCUCCUUUGCCCCUUGAGGAAGGGGACUUGGGGCACUUUUCUGGUUGGAAAGUGCCACAGCAGGGUGGCCAAGAUUAGGUGCUUCUGCUGCUGAUGGGGAAGCCCAGAGAGUGGAGCAGUGUCACCCACUCCUGGGCACAGCGACCCUGUCCUGCUGCACACACGCCCAGAGCACAGGGGGUUGUGAGCUGGGGCUUGUGAGAGCUGCUCAACUCCUGAGUGGCAUCAGUAAAAAAUAAAGUAUUUGUGGAUUUGUGGCAUCACAAAUGGGUCAUGAAGCACAAAGCUGACUCUCUGCUCUGCAAUAAACAUAGUUUUUCCUCUCUGAGGCUGCAGUUUGAUGUCUCUGCUCAUACUGGCUUCCACCCACCUCACCAGAAGCCACCACGGGCUGUCCAAGGAGGGGAGAGCUCUCAGCAAGGAGCCCCACAGCCAUAGCCAGGCUGGAUUUGCUAGGCAAGAACAAGAGCAGCUAAGAUAUGCCCCACCACACACACUCCCCUUCCCUCCCCUCACAUGCCGGAAGGAUUAUGGGGCCAGUGCAGGGAACUUCUUGUCCUGCCAGGGCAUAAACCUUCCUCUCCCGGUCUCCAGGAGGCACAAAGCAGCUCUGAGAGGUUGCAAGCAGACAGGCUUUAUAUGGAGUUCCCACAAACAUCACUGCUUUUAUUUAAGGCAGAAAACACAGGAUGUUACAGAUGAGUGGAAAAAUGUGAUGUGCCCCACUGCCUGCAGAGCCUCUCAGACUGGAGAAAGCUCUUCUGGAAGUCAGAGGGUCUCCAGACAGGAUUAGGAAAGCACAUAGUGUCUGCUCUGACAUUUUAUUUUUGCCCUGCUUGGCUGCAGCUACACCUCCGUGCACCCCACACGCAAACACCCUCACAGCUAGGGUCCCAUACCUCCCUUCCCGCUUACAACUUCCCACAGCCCUUUUGUAUCUGACUCCUGGGAGGCUCUUUUCAAACUUUUUUGGCAGCUCCCUCUCUUUGAAACACUGGAAAGCUACCAGUGAGAAGCCUGGCUCGGGCUGCCUGCCACCAGUGCUGGCAGCAGCUUGCUCCAUCCUCUGCCAGGCUCUGCCCCUCUGCAGGAGCCCAGGGGCAGCCCCAGCCACCCCUGCCCCUGCUCACCUUCACGGGGGCACCUCAGAGUGCUCAGGGCAUCAGUGGCUCUGUGGCACCUGCCAGCAUUCACAAAGUGCCAGAGAUCCCUGAACACUGACACCUGUCACAGAGCUCCCUUACACAGCUUUGGGGAGGAAUCAUCAAAAAAAUAUUUUAUUUAAUGCUUGUUUUCAUGAUCAUGCAUGACAAAUUUAGCCCAAGGUACAUUUUUCCCCCUAAUGUUGCCACAUGCUUUUUUCUUCUUCAAGUUAAAGAGAUGCCAGCCAACCUAACACAAUUAUUAAGAUAAACUGGAGAUAUUUCAAACGGUGGUUUCAGAAAAACAGCCUUACAACUUAACUUCCCACACAUUCAUUCACUGGUGCUCCUUUCCUUACCAGGACUGGAGAGCUAAAAAGCAGCAGAAGACUCCAGAGUAAGGCACAAAACACCCCUCUUCUGUUGAGCCAAAUUAGGCUCAGUGCUUUGACACUUCAUUUAUACCCCUUGAAACACCUGGCCCAGAGUACCUUCUGAUUGAUUACAAUUAAAAAUUCUUGAUUGGCUUGCCCCUAGUGACCACAUUAGUGACCACAAUUACAUGAUAUGGCCAAACAAGAGGCAGUUACUAUUUCUUAACCAUAUUUUUUUUUCAGUGUGGUAAGAUAACUAAGCAGUGUAUUUAAUGACAUACUAUUACUUGUAUGCUUAAGCACCUGAGUCCUUGAUCUUGUGCUUUAUAAAGUGCUCUGAGCUGUGCAGUAAUUGCCUAUAAAUAUGUUGCUGAUCAUGCUUAAAGGGACACUGUCAAGUUGGGAGGCCUACAGUUUGACUUAGUAAAAUUACAUCUUAAAAUAGUUUUAUUCUUAGUGUUUCUAAAUUACCAACUUGUGGGGCUUAUCAUGCUUCUUUUUAUCAGUCCAGCUCCUAGAAGUAAUAAGGUUAUGGGAGAAUGUUCACUUUUAAAUCAAUGGACCAGACAUAGGAAUUGUAUUGAUGGAGGCUAAUGUUCUCAUCCUGAACAUGCAAAUAAAAGCACUUUUCUAUAAAACUUAUUUUUCCUGAUGUGAAUAUGCAUGACCUCUAUUGCCCUUAUGGUUUGCUAUAAGGUCACCCCUUGUUGAACCUAUGUCUUGUGAAAGAAAUCUUCAAGAAAGAGUGCAAAGCUGAGGGCAUCAGGCCCGGGCAAGUCUGCAGCCUCACGAAGUGCCCAUUUUCCAUGGUGUCGCUUUGUCAGCCAGCAGACUUGUCCUAGCUGAGCUGAAGGGGAGGGGAUGCAAAAAGAGGGGGCUGGGGAAAAGAAUUACAAAGGCUGGUGAAGAGCCUGAAACUUCUCAUCCCCAGCAGAGCUGUUGGGAAUGCAGAGGAGCGAUGGGAUGGGGAAAACCCAGGGCUGAGAGCCCUUUCCCGCACAGUCUCUCCUGCGAGGGGCUCUGUGGCUGGAGCCCAGCAUCAGGGAAACUGAAGCCAGCUAUUGAGGAGCUUUUUGAUCUCAGGCAAAGAGCAGAACUGGACUUUUUCUUAAGGAAAGAAUACAAAUAGCUGAGGAGUGAAAGGUGGCCUGGGAAUUCUCCUUUUAUGAAGGGCUUGGUUUAUUUCCGAGCUGAAUAACUCAGCUCCCUGUGAGCUGCAGUUUUCCAGCACAGUCUGUACUCAUGGGAAACCUGCAAUGUCACAGUUACCAACUCCAUAGAUGUCAGUCAAUGAAAAAGUAUGGCUCAGUGGUGCCAGGGACAAUGCAAGGCAAAUGGGGAGAAGCUCUAAGCAAAGGCUGAGUGGAUACUGCCAGGGUGGCUGUGUAGAAAGGCACUUUUGGAAGAGGAGACAUGGCCUGUGCCCCCCUGCAUUAUCCAGCUAGCCUCUGUGCUGCAAGGUUUGAAGACAAAGCUCUGGAGUCUCCAGAGGCAUGGGCCUACAGCCAGGCUUCACCUCCCUUUCUCCCAGAAGGUGAAAGAUUUGUCGAUGCCCUAGAUAUGAGGCAAAGUUUUGGAUGUACUUACCCAUCACAGGUGUAUGUUGGGCAACUCUAGGGACUUGAGGGUAGCCUUGGAAAAAUUGUGUCAAACAAAACUCAGGAACAACAACAACAACAAACAGUAAAGAAAUGCCUCUGGGCCUGGGAGAAAGGCACACCUCCAGCAGCCAUGCCCAAAUCAGGGGCUGGUGAGUGCUUGUGGCUGGUGGCAUCACUUGAAGGUGCAGCUCCUCAAAGAGGUGGGAAGAGUAAAAAUCUUCUUUUUUUUUUUCUUAUUCACAGGCAAGAGAAGAAAGUAAAAGAAAAUCCUCCUGCUGAAGAUGCCACAGAACAGAAAAAGGCAAGUUCUAAUGUCAAUCUAAUGACAGAUAUGGCUCUAAGUUCCAGCAGGUGGGAAGGUGCUCCCCACACUUCCAGCAAGCAUCCAAGAGACCAGGACAGCGUAGGGGCUGUGUCUCUCACUUGGGCAAGCCUUGUAAGGUGUGAAUAUGGAUAUGGAUAAGCACUUGAAAAAAGUCUCAUGUGUUUAACACCAAAGAGUGCAUUUCAGGCUCUUAACAGUUACACUGAAACACUUGAAAGUGCAACUUGCAUACAUUUGAAGAGCUCCAGAAAACAUAAUAAAAGCCAGAUGAGCCCAAAGUCUUUCAAAGUACUUUAAAAAAAAUCUCAUGUUUUUAGGCAAAGCUAAUUUCUCUGAUUUGUUUUGAGCUGACUCAAUAAUUUUAAAUGGUUGUCUUUGAGAAUUGUAAGACCAGUUUAAUUUUUUUGUAGGUUUAUUCCACAGAAAUGCUUAAAAAGCAAUAAAGCCAAUCUCAAUAGCUUUGCUUAAAUCCAUGACUAUAUCAGUUCUGUGUUAUGGGUACACAGGGAGAAACUAACUGAGUAGGAAUUUGUAAGGGAUUCCUAUAACAAUAGUUACAUUGUUUGCACACAUACACACCAUAAUAAUAACAAGAGAAAAGCAAUAGCAACCUUGCAGUUACAAAAAUACCAAGUUCCCUUUAAAAAUGUACAUGUAUAUUCUGUGUUUACCCAGAUUAACAGUGUCGCUAGGGGCUGAUACUUCUGUAUGCUGUAUCUUCUGUCUGAUUUAUUCAAGUUUUUUUUUUUUUUUUUCUGGGCUUCUUUUCUUCAAAACUGUGCUUGCUUGUGCCUUAUGUUCACCAAGAGGAACCUAAGUUCCAUGAGUAAACACCUGGAAGCUGAGAACAGGAGUGUGUAAGAAACCUGGAUUAAUUUAACUACAGUGCCUUAUAAUGGAAAAUAUAAAUUUUCCUGCUGCAAUUGGUAUAUACAUUCAACAGUUUU